UGGGGAAUAUUGCACAAUGGGCGCAAGCCUGAUGCAGCCAUGCCGCGUGUAUGAAGAAGGCCUUCGGGUUGUAAAGUACUUUCAGCGAGGAGGAAGGCGGUAAGGUUAAUAACCUUAUCGAUUGACGUUACUCGCAGAAGAAGCACCGGCUAACUCCGUGCCAGCAGCCGCGGUAAUACGGAGGGUGCAAGCGUUAAUCCGAAUUACUGGGCGUAAAGCGCACGCAGGCGGUCUGUCAAGUCGGAUGUGAAAUCCCCGGGCUCAACCUGGGAACUGCAUUCGAAACUGGCAGGCUAGAGUCUUGUAGAGGGGGGUAGAAUUCCAGGUGUAGCGGUGAAAUGCGUAGAGAUCUGGAGGAAUACCGGUGGCGAAGGCGGCCCCCUGGACAAAGACUGACGCUCAGGUGCGAAAGCGUGGGGAGCAAACA
rnacentral:rRNA from 1 species